ACGGUCGUAGUCUAAUGGUAGGAUAUAAGCCUGUGGAGCUUAAGGCGGGUGUUCGAUUCUCCCCGACCGUC
rnacentral:tRNA from 1 species